AUCUUAUAAAUAUAUUUGUAUAUUUGGCUUCCAACCAAAUUGUUUAAGACCACCCUUAAAUAAGAUA
rnacentral:tRNA from 1 species